rnacentral:rRNA from 1 species
UGGGUAACCUGCCCCAGACUUUGGGAUAACUCCGGGAAACCGGGGCUAAUACCGGAUAGGACUGCUGGCCGCAUGGUUGGUGGUGGAAAGUUUUUCGGUCUGGGAUGGGCCCGCGGCCUAUCAGCUUGUUGGUGGGGUGAUGGCCUACCAAGGCGACGACGGGUAGCCGGCCUGAGAGGGCGAUCGGCCACACUGGGACUGAGACACGGCCCAGACUCCUACGGGAGGCAG